rnacentral:rRNA from 1 species
GACGAACGCUGGCGGCGUGCCUAAUACAUGCAAGUCGAGCGGAAGUUGAAGAGCUUGCUCUUCAACUUUAGCGGCGGACGGGUGAGUAACACGUGGCAACCUGCCCUGCAGAUCGGGAUAACUCCGGGAAACCGGUGCGAAUACCGAAUCGUUUUCGCCACCUCCUGGUGGCGUACGGAAAGACGGUUUCGGCUGUCACUGCAGGAUGGGCCCGCGGCGCAUUAGCUAGGUGGUGGGGUAACGGCCCACCAAGGCGACGAUGCGUAGCCGACCUGAGAGGGUGAUCGGCCACACUGGGACUGAGACACGGCCCAGACUCCUACGGGAGGCAGCAGUAGGGAAUCUUCCGCAAUGGACGAAAGUCUGGCGGAGCAACGCCGCGUGAGUGACGAAGGUUUUCGGAUCGUAAAACUCUGUUGUGAGGGAAGAACAAGUACCAACUAACUACUGGUACCUUGACGGUACCUCACCAGAAAGCCACGGCUAACUACGUGCCAGCCGCCGCGGUAAUAC